GAUGAAGAACGCAGCGAAAUGCGAUAAGUAAUGUGAAUUGCAGAAUUCAGUGAAUCAUCGAGUCUUUGAACGCACCUUGCGCUCUUUGGUAUUCCGAAGAGCAUGCCUGUUUGAGUGUCAUGAAAAUAUCAACCUUGACUUGGGUUUUGUGCUCUAGUCUCGGCUUGGAAUUGGGUGCUUGCCGCUUUUACGAGCGGCUCACCUUAAAUGUAUUAGCUGGAUCUGUCUUUGAGACUUGGUUUGACUUGGCGUAAUAAGUAUUUCGCUAAGGACAUUCUUCGGAGUGGCCUCGUUUCUAGGACGCUUGUCCGCUUUCCAAUACAAGUUCCACCUCGUGGACAUGACUUUUUAUUAUCUGGCCUCAAAUCAGGUAGGACUACCCGCUGAACUUAAGCAUAUCAAUAAGCGGAGGA
rnacentral:misc_RNA from 1 species